ACUGGAGGUUAAGUCAUGCACUAAAUAGGGAACAAGGGAGCAUCCUAUAUCUCUCUAUAACUGUUCUGAGACCAGUGCAGACAGACAGCACACUGGAGGUUAAGUCAUGCACUAAAUAGGGAACAAGGGAGCAUCCUAUAUCUCUCUAUAACUGUUCUGAGACCAGUGCAGACAGACAGCACACUGGAGGUUAAGUCAUGCACUAAAUAGGGAACAAGGGAGCAUCCUAUAUCUCUCUAUAACUGUUCUGAGACCAGUGCAGACAGACAGCACACUGGAGGUUAAGUCAUGCACUAAAUAGGGAACAAGGGAGCAUCCUAUAUCUCUCUAUAACUGUUCUGAGACCAGUGCAGACAGACAGCACACUGGAGGUUAAGUCAUGCACUAAAUAGGGAACAAGGGAGCAUCCUAUAUCUCUCUAUAACUGUUCUGAGACCAGUGCAGACAGACAGCACACUGGAGGUUAA